rnacentral:rRNA from 1 species
GAUCAUGGCUCAGGAUGAACGCUGGCGGCGUGCCUAACACAUGCAAGUCGAACGAAGCGAUUCAACGGAAAUUUUCGGAUGGAAGUUGAAUUGACUGAGUGGCGGACGGGUGAGUAACGCGUGGGUAACCUGCCUUGUACUGGGGGACAACAGUUAGAAAUGACUGCUAAUACCGCAUAAGCGCACAGUAUCGCAUGAUACAGUGUGAAAAACUCCGGUGGUACAAGAUGGACCCGCG